rnacentral:rRNA from 1 species
UGAAGUCUCAGAGCCGGGUGUUGGUUCCGGUAGAGAUCGAGGGGAAUUAGUACCGAAGUCUGAGAUGGAAGAUGGCGAGAAAAGCUGUGUGUAUUUCUGAGGUGCCCGUACCGCAAACCGACACAGGUAGGUAGGAAGAAGAUUCUAAGGCCAACGGGAGAAGGGUUGUUAAGGAACUCGGCAAAUUGACCCCGUAACUUCGGGAGAAGGGGUGCUCCAGAGAUGGAGCCGCAGAGAAUCGGCCCAAGCAACUGUUUACCAAAAACACAGGUUUGUGCUAAAUCGAAAGAUGACGUAUACGAGCUGACGCCUGCCCGGUGCUGGAAGGUUAAGAGGAGAUGUGCAAGCAUUGAAUCGAAGCCCCAGUGAACGGCGGCCGUAACAAUAACGGUCCUAAGGUAGCGAAAUUCCUUGUCAGGUAAGUUCUGACCCGCAUGAAAGGCGUAAUGAUUUGGGCACUGUCUCAACAGCCCGCCCGGCGAAAUUGUAGUACCGGUGAAGAUGCCGGUUACCCGCGACAAGACGGAAAGACCCCAUGGAGCUUUACUGUAGCCUAAUAUUGGGUUUCGAUGUUGCAUGCACAGGAUAGAUGGACACAGGGAAACAAUCGCUUUGGCGGUUGCGGAGUGGCCGUUGGGAUACCAUCCUUGCGAUAUUGGAAUUCUAACCUGCGGCUCUGAAUCGAGUCGGGGGACAUUGUUAGGUGGGCAGUUUGACUGGGGCGGUCGCCUCCUAAAAAGUAACGGAGGCGUUCAAAGGUUCGCUCAGCUUGAACGGAAAUCAAGCAAAAGAGUGCAAACGCAGAAGCGAGCCUAACUGCGAGACUGACGGGUCGAGCAGUAACGAAAGUUGGAGUUAGUGAUCCGGUGGUAUGUGAGUGGAAAUGCCGUCGCUCAACGGAUAAAAGUUACCCUGGGGAUAACAGGCUGAUCUCCCCCAAGAGUCCACAUCGACGGGGAGGUUUGGCACCUCGAUGUCGGCUCAUCGCAUCCUGGGGCUGUAUUCGGUCCCAAGGGUUUGGCUGUUCGCCAAUUAAAGCGGUACGCGAGCUGGGUUCAGAACGUCGUGAGACAGUUCGGUCCCUAUCUGUCGUGGGCGCAGGAUAUUUGAUGGGAGCUGUCCCUAGUACGAGAGGACCGGGACGGACGUACCUCUGGCGCACCAGUUGUUCCGCCAGGAGCAUAGCUGGGCAACUACGUACGGAUCAGAUAAACGCUGAAAGCAUCUAAGCGUGAAGCCGACCCAAAGAUAAGAUAUCCCACUGAUUCAAUCAGGUAAGAUCCCUUGAAGACUACAAGGUUGAUAGGCACGAUGUGUAAGUGGAGUGAUCCAUUCAGCAAGAGUGUACUAAUAGAUCGAGGGCUUGACCG